rnacentral:lncRNA from 1 species
GUCAUGGUUCCCUGCUGAAGUCUAAGGAACUCCAUCUCCUUUUGAUCUCUCACAGCUGCCGGGAAGAAUUUCUCUUCUACAAGUUCCUUAAACCUUUCCCAAGUUAUAGCCUGUUCUUCAGCAGGUGUUAAUGACCUAGUAGUCAUGUCCCACCAAUGGCUAGCCCCCUUCUUUAACAUAAACACUGAAAAUGUUACCCUUUCAGCAUCGUCACAUCUUAUAAAUUUAAAGAUGCGUUCUAAUUCUCGUAACCAAUCCUCAACUGCUAAGGGAUCCGUACUCCCCUCAAACGAUGGAGGGUUCAUUUUACGAAACUGCUCUAUCAUUGCAGUUCGAUCCCUCGAGUUAGGUACUAUUUGAGGUUGAAUAAUUGGUUGGUUAGGUUCCUGAUGAUCAAC